AAAUUACGGAAGGCAAACAACCUUAUGGAAAAUGCAAUGGAGCAACUUCAAGACGUUUUUUCUAAGUUAACAGUUGAAUAUGAUGAUAGUUUGGUGAAAUUAUGGACAGAGGAAGAACAGAACGUGUUGAUUACGCGAGAAAAAACCAAAAUGUUGACGUUGUCU